CGCUGUUUAAGACGGUUCGACAGUUCGAUCUGAAUUGAAGUGAGGGAGCAGCGAAAAUAUACUCCAGUCAGUUGUUGAAGACACGUGCUUGGUGGCGCGGACAACUAAAUCGGAAGAACAAGAAAUAAGUAAUCUUUGGAGUAAUUACCUGAAAUAUUACUGCGGAAAUGUAAUUGCAAAGGUAAGCCUGGAAAGCUUAACAACUGAAAACAAGAAGAUGGCGUCUAGAAGGACCAUAUGGGGUUUCUUAAUUGCUUUCU